UACGGGGGGGAGCAAGCGUUGUUCGGAUUUACUGGGCGUAAAGAGCGUGUAGGCGGCCCGAUUAGUCCGCUGUGAAAGUCCAGGGCUCAACCCUGGAAUGCCGGUGGAUACUGUCGGGCUAGAGUCCGGAAGAGGUGAGUGGAAUUCCGAGUGUAGAGGUGAAAUUCGUAGAUAUUCGGAGGAACACCAGUGGCGAAGGCGGCUCACUGGUCCGGUACUGACGCUGAGGUGCGAAAGCGUGGGGAGCAAACAGG
rnacentral:rRNA from 1 species